rnacentral:rRNA from 1 species
AUGGUUAAAGAAGAAAAAGAAGAAAACAGGGGUUCUGUUGAAUUUCAAGUAUUGAGUUUCACCAAUAAGAUAUGGAGACUUGCUUCACAUUUGGAAUUACACAAAAAACAUUUUUCAUCAAGAAGAGAUCUAAGAAGACUUUUGGGAAAACGUCGACGUUUGUUGGCUUAUUUGGCGAAGAAAAAUACAGUACGCUAUAAGAAAUUAAUCGAGAGAGAGAAUUAA